rnacentral:lncRNA from 1 species
CUCCGCGCCUCAGCGAGCGGCCAGGCUGCGGGCGGGGUGGGCUGGCGCUCCUGAUCCACCUGGAACACUUUUGCAAAGACAGACGCGGUUCCUCCUACUUCAGAGCAAGUCUGGGCCAGCUGGGAUCCGACCAGAAAUCGCAAGCGGAGGAGACGCAGUAGCGCAGGCUGAGCGCUAACUGAAGGCGCGACCUGAGCCCGGCGCCUGCUGGGGAGCUGCGCAGCCAGGACAGCGGUCGGCAGCACAGGGCCUGGGCGCAGGGCCCGCCGUCACCACCUCACGUCGGAAGCCAGCACUGCUGCCCGCCAGCCCUGCCGCCUGCCCUCGGACUUCCCAGGGCGCCCAGGGUCCUCCCAACGCGCCUGCACCCACACCCGCCCCUGAGCCACAGUGACCUUGCAUUCCCCGCCCCCUGCCACACCUCCUGCGUGCCCGAGUGUCACCCUUAAAUACCGCUCUACACCCAGAGAGGGACGAAUACACCUCUGAAGACAGGGCAAGACUAAUUUCAAUGGGUCAGAAGGUUCUUGCAGGCACUGUUUUAUUUAAGAGUGCCUAUUUACUGGCAGGAGUAUUUGUGUGGGAGGAAGUAGGCUAAGACUGCUGUUGAACUUGAAGCUAAACUUGAAUGCCAUUUAAAAUAACAAUAAAAAUAUACUUAAAACACCA